AAACUACUUCCUCCGUUCCAUAAUUCUUGUCUCAAAUUUGACAAAAAAUUGAUGUAUCUAUUCCUAAAAAGUGUCUAGAUACAUCUAAUAUUUCUACAAGAAUUAUGGAACGGAAGGAGUACAUG
rfam:Brachypodium distachyon strain Bd21 chromosome 1, whole genome shotgun sequence.